ACCCGUUCGAUCAUCGGCGUUAAGCAACAUCGAGCCUGGUCAGUACCUAGAUGAGGGACCACUUGGGAAUACCAGGUGCUAUAA